AUAGUAUUAAAUAGUAUUAAGUGUGAACAUACUGUUAUGUUAUGGAUUGUAUUUUAGUGUGUACUUUCGAUUACAUUGUGUCCUCGAUUGUCGACACUCAACGAAUGUAAAUCAUUGAAGAGAAGACGCUAAGCACUAAAAAGGGCCCUAAAUCUUUAAUUAAAAAGAAAUAAUUCACACAGUGGUAGAAACACCCUUAGAUUACAUUUGGAAAAGUGGGCGUGCCACAAAAAAAAUCAAAUCACUAAAGACCACUCAAAGGGCCAAACUCUCCGUGUGUCGAGUGACACUACAAAGCCAAGAGCUAGAGAUGUACCAGGUCAACUUUUCUCACCAAUCACACUGCACGAUCACACCACCGCUGAAGUCUGACUGUUAAAGGAGUUCGUGCUGUAGCAGCUAGCUUUUUUUUGUCAAACAUAUCCGUUUUUAAAUUCGAACUUCCUAAACAUGGCACUACCACCAGCAAAGAGAACCACGGAAAGAACGUCCACUUAGUUAAAUUCUCCACCAGAUGGGCUACGAAAAAAUGGCAGAAGUUUACUGAGCAAACUGACUAUUUAACAAGAAAGGAAGUUAGCUUCGGCAAGCAGAAGUUGGUAUACCCUUGCAGUUAUAAGAAAUAAUCAACGUUUGUAACGUUUUAAAGAUUGUUGCUCCGACCGAUAGGACAGUCUUCGCAUUCUUCGGAGCAGGUUCGCCGGGUGAAGUCCACUGCUUCGACUGUUCCUUGGUCUCUGGUGUGUACCAGUGGAUCCAUGUUUCGUCGACGGUCGCGAAACGACCUAGAAACUCCAUCGGAUUGCGCUUAAACAAAUGGUCUCACGGUUGCGUUUGUUGUCCAAAGUGAGCAAACGUGGCACCCAUCGCGCCGACAGCACUCUCAUGCCAAAAAUUUAAUGCAGGAUAUGCCCCACGCAGCCUUUUGACAUGCCUACUAUCUCAGCUAUAUUGAGUAUCUAAAAUCAGCAGUCUGCCAAGAAAAAAUCAUGGAUUUUUAUCACAUUAUCCUCUGUGGUAGCCGAUUUCCGGGUGGCGCAUCAAAAACCGACGUGCGACCACGUUGAAACUCAUUAAACCAAUUUUUGACGGUCGCCAUCAAAGGAGUAGAGUCACCGUACACAGCAUCCAAUCGUUUUUUUUUUAUUUCGGGGUGCGAUUUCCCUUCCAAAAACAAGAAUCAAAUCACAGACCGAUAUUGCUUUUUCUCAAUUUUUCUAAAACCCGCGAAACCUGCGAUUUCACACGCAGUCAAAACAAAACAGUCCAAUUCGGCUGAAAUUUCGACAGUAGCCGUCUACGAUAGUGACGCUAUCGGGCGGUGAGGCUAAGUACUUAUCGGACUGCCUUCGAAUAUCGUAUAUAUUGACAUGCAAUAGUCAAGCUGACUUGGAAGGUUGUGAUUUAAUUAAGCAUAUUCUUCGCGGAUUAAACGACACAAGUGGCUUUACUACGUCACUUUAUUUUAGCGAAAGUCUUGAUCAAUUGAUUCGCCGUUUAAUAGAUCUAUUUAUCACUGCCAAAUUCUUACUCUGGUCGUAGUAUUUGCCACAAUUGUCGCCGGGCUUAUGAUAAUGAAUUGCAACAAGCCCAUACGUCCACUCAAUAGUUGCUUUACAGUUGAAAGCGUGGAUCAUCGAUUCCGUAACUGCCCGAAGCGUGUGACGGGAAGACUGCAGCAGACAGUGGCGACUGUGGCAGAUCAACAAGCUGUUGCUGAUAUAAUUGAGUAUUGUGCCCGCUGAUCCCCCAGGAGCUCUAAAUACUGUGAUUGAACAUUUUUUUGAUGCCACGGAGAACGCUUUAAUAUUAACUGGAAAAUGGGCGUUUGAUGACAGUACUGGGCAAACUUAUUUGUGAAAAUAAC